AACGAACGCUGGCGGCAUGCCUAACACAUGCAAGUCGAACGAGACCUUCGGGUCUAGUGGCGCACGGGUGCGUAACGCGUGGGAACCUGCCUUUAGGUUCGGAAUAACUCAGAGAAAUUUGAGCUAAUACCGGAUGAUGUCUUCGGACCAAAGAUUUAUCGCCUUUAGAUGGGCCCGCGUUGGAUUAGCUAGUUGGUGGGGUAAAGGCCUACCAAGGCGACGAUCCAUAGCUGGUCUGAGAGGAUGAUCAGCCACACUGGGACUGAGACACGGCCCAGACUCCUACGGGAGGCAGGAGUGGGGAAUAUUGGACAAUGGGCGAAGGCCUGAUCCAGCAAUGCCGCGUGAGUGAUGAAGGCCUUAGGGUUGUAAAGCUCUUUUACCCGAGAUGAUAAUGACAGUAUCGGGAGAAUAAGCUCCGGCUAACUCCGUG
rnacentral:rRNA from 1 species